AUUGUCGCUGGCUCUCUGCAUGUGCACGUCUUCGCUUUCCAUCGACCUUUCUCAACACACACACACCUGUGCACCUAUUGUAGGUCCUCGAAAGAGGAUCUAUGUUUUUUCACAUCACACCUAUCGUAUGUCUAUAGAAUGUAUUCGAAACCUGUCGACCAGGCUUCGCCCUGGUUGGCAGGUCGAUAAAUAAAUUAUACAACUUUCAGCAACGGAUCUCUUGGCUCUCGCAUCGAUGAAGAACGCAGCGAAUUGCGAUAAGUAAUGUGAAUUGCAGAUUUCCAGUGAAUCAUCGAAUCUUUGAACGCACCUUGCGCUCCUUGGUAUUCCGAGGAGCAUGCCUGUUUGAGUGUCAUCGAAUUCUCAACCAUGUCUUGAUCGUUUUCGAGCGCAUGGCUUGGAGUUGGGGGUUGCUGGCGGCGAAAACUUGACUUUUGGCCGGUCGGCUCUCCUUAAAUACAUUAACAAAGGGUGGCUAGUCUUUGACGUGCACGGCCUUCGACGUG
rnacentral:rRNA from 1 species